CCCUUAGAUGUUCUGGGCCGCACGCGCGCUACACUGAAGGGAUCAGCGUGUUUUCCCUUUCCGAGAGGAACGGGUAACCCGCUGAACCCCCUUCGUGGUAGGGAUCGGAGCUUGCAAUUGUUCUCCGUGAACCAGGAAUUCCCAGUAAGCGCAAGUCAUAAGCUUGCGUUGAUUACGUCCCUGCCCUUUGUACACACCGCCCGUCGCUACUACCGAUUGAACGUUUUAGUGAGGCAUUUGGACCGACGCAUCUCAGUUUAACCGCUGGUUUGUGUUGGAAAGACUUCCAAACUUGAGCGUUUAGAGGAAGUAAAAGUCGUAACA
rnacentral:rRNA from 1 species